CAAGAAAACCAUCCAACUUACACAUGAACAACAGCUGAUUCUGAAUCACAAGAUGGAACCUCUCCAGGUGGUGAAAAUUAUGGCCUUUGCCGGCACUGGGAAGACCUCAACGCUGGUCAAGUACGCAGAGAAGUGGUCUCAGAGCAGGUUUCUGUAUGUGACAUUCAACAAGAGCAUCGCAAAGCAGGCCGAACGCGUCUUCCCCAGCAACGUCAUCUGCAAAACCUUCCAUUCCAUGGCCUACGGGCACAUAGGGCGGAAGUGAGUACUGCUGUCACUAGUGGCACUGUUGCUGCUGGCACGGUCGCGUCUUACUGUUUUCCCGUGACGAUCACAUGUGAGCUUACACCACAGUGACCCCGAGGAGUGUAGUGCUGUUAUCUCCACUUACAGGCAGGAAACAAAUACAUAGGUUUAGCCAUUUGUACUUUUAUCCUAUAGCAACAUAUUGUUUACAUAUAAUGCCGUCUUGCCAAGAGGGGUGUUCUCAUGGAAGUGAGGCACAGAAAGUCAAAAUGACUUGCUUAAAGUUCAGAGUCUCACAAAUCCUGAUCAGUUGUAGGCUUUUCUUGGAAGGGAGUGAGGAAGACUCAGCCGAGGCACACUUGACCCAGGUCUCCUGGAUGUAGAGGCA
rnacentral:sRNA from 1 species